UGUUUGAUAUACAAUAGAUAGAGAUGUUGCGAGAGACAUCGACACAGAUGGGGACGGAUAUCUGGACGAGACAGAAUUAGAGAAACACAUUAGUGUUCCGAGACGUUCUCGACUUCAUAGCGGCUUUAGAUAACAACGGUGACAACCUCCUCUCCAUUGAUGAAUUUAACAAGAAGUAAUCAAUUAAUCAGAUCGACUUUUUCCUGAACUGAGAAAAUCUCGAAGAUUGUUAUGAACAAAGAGCCGUUAGAAUAAAGCAUAUCUGAAUAUAUGA